AUAUUGGACAAUGGGGGAAACCCUGAUCCAGUCAUGCCGCGUGUGUGAAGAAGGCAUUCAGAUUGUACAGCACUUUAAGUUGGAAGGAAGGGCUUUAGGUUAAUACCUUGAAGUUUUGACGUUACCAACAGAAUAAGCACCGGCUAACUAUGUGCCAGCAGCCGCGGUAAUACAGAGGGUGCAAGCGUUAAUCGGAAUUACUGGGCGUAAAGCGCGCGUAGGUGGUUCAGUAAGAUGGGUGUGAAAUCCCCGGGCUUAACCUGGGAACUGCUUUCAUAACUGCUGAGCUAGAGUAAGGUAGAGGGUAGUGGAAUUUCCUGUGUAGCGGUGAAAUGCGUAGAUAUAGGAAGGAACACCAGUGGCGAAGGCGACUACCUGGACUGAUACUGACACUGAGGUGCGAAAGCGUGGGGAGCAAA
rnacentral:rRNA from 1 species